rnacentral:rRNA from 1 species
UACGAAGGGGGCUAGCGUUGUUCGGAUUUACUGGGCGGAAAGCGCACGUAGGCGGAUCGUUAAGUCGGGGGUGAAAUCCUGGAGCUCAACUCCAGAACUGCCUUCGAUACUGGCGAUCUCGAGUCCGGAAGAGGUGAGUGGAACUCCUAGUGUAGAGGUGGAAUUCGUAGAUAUUAGGAAGAACACCAGUGGCGAAGGCGACUCACUGGUCCGGUACUGACGCUGAGGUGCGAAAGCGUGGGGAGCAAACAGG